AGCGAACGCUGGCGGCAGGCCUAACACAUGCAAGUCGAACGGACCCUUCGGGGUUAGUGGCGGACGGGUGAGUAACACGUGGGAACGUGCCUUUAGGUUCGGAAUAGCUCCUGGAAACGGGUGGUAAUGCCGGAUGUGCCCUUCGGGGGAAAGAUUUAUCGCCUUUAGAGCGGCCCGCGUCUGAUUAGCUAGUUGGUGAGGUAAUGGCUCACCAAGGCGACGAUCAGUAGCUGGUCUGAGAGGAUGACCAGCCACAUUGGGACUGAGACACGGCCCAAACGCCUACGGGAUGCAGCCGUGGGGAAUCUUGCGCAAUGGGCGAAAGCCUGACGCAGCCAUGCCGCGUGGAUGAUGAAGGUCUUAGGAUUGUAAAAUCCUUUCACCGGUGAAGAUAAUGACUGUAGCCGGAGAAGAAGCCCCGGCUAACUUCGUGCCAGCCGCCGCGGUAA
rnacentral:rRNA from 1 species